rnacentral:rRNA from 1 species
AAGACCAAGGUUUCCCGGGCAAUGCCAAUCAGCCCGGGGUCAGUCGGGUCCUAAGUCUAAGCCGAACGGCGAUGGCGAUGGCAGAGACGGUUAAUAUUCCGUCACUGCCGCAUGGGGCGACGUGGAGACGGAGCAGUGAAACCACCGCGGGGCGACGGAAGUCCCCGUUGAAGAGUGUAGGUGUUGAGGAUGGCAGGCAAAUCCACCAUCCGAGCUGAACUUGACAGUACGGAGUCCUCCUCGGAGGAAUCUGAUAGUGUGGGUAAUCAUACUCCCGAGAAAAUCCGCUAAGCUUAACCCAUGCGGCACCCGUACCGCAAACGGACACACGUGGUCGGGUAGAACAUACUAAGGCGUUGAGAGAUUCAUGGUUAAGGAACUAGGCAAAUUGACCCUGUAACUUCGGGAUAAAGGGUCCCUACCCUUUUAUGGGAGGGCGCAGAGAAUCGGUCCAGGCAACUGUUUAACAAAAACACAGGGCUGUGCAAACUCGAAAGAUGACGUAUACAGCCUGACACCUGCCCGGUGCCGGAAGGUUAAGAGGAGAUGUCACUCGCAAGAGGAAGCAUUGAAUUGAAGCCCCGGUAAACGGCGGCCGUAACUAUAACGGUCCUAAGGUAGCGAAAUUCCUUGUCGGGUAAGUUCCGACCUGCACGAAUGGUGUAAUGAUCCGGACGCUGUCUCAACCAUGAGCUCAGUGAAAUUGUAGUAUCGGUGAAGAUGCCGAUUACCCGCGAUGGGACGAAAAGACCCCGUGAACCUUUACUAUAGCUUGACACUGAACAUUGAGCCUUGAUGUGUAGGAUAGGUGGGAGGCUUUGAAGUGUGGACGCCAGUCUGCAUGGAGCCGACCUUGAAAUACCACCCUUUAAUGUUUGAUGUUCUAACGUGGGCCCCUAAUCGGGGUUGCGGACAGUGUCUGGUGGGUAGUUUGACUGGGGCGGUCUCCUCCUAAAGAGUAACGGAGGAGCACGAAGGUUGGCUAAUCCUGGUCGGACAUCAGGAGGUUAGUGCAAUGGCAUAAGCCAGCUUGACUGCGAGCGUGACGGCGCGAGCAGGUGCGAAAGCAGGUCAUAGUGAUCCGGUGGUUCUGAAUGGAAGGGCCAUCGCUCAACGGAUAAAAGGUACUCCGGGGAUAACAGGCUGAUACCGCCCAAGAGUUCAUAUCGACGGCGGUGUUUGGCACCUCGAUGUCGGCUCAUCACAUCCUGGGGCUGAAGUAGGUCCCAAGGGUAUGGCUGUUCGCCAUUUAAAGUGGUACGCGAGCUGGGUUUAGAACGUCGUGAGACAGUUCGGUCCCUAUCUGCCGUGGGCGCUGGAGAACUGAGGGGGGCUGCUCCUAGUACGAGAGGACCGGAGUGGACGCAUCACUGGUGUUCGGGUUGUCAUGCCAAUGGCACUGCCCGGUAGCUAAAUGCGGAAGAGAUAAGUGCUGAAAGCAUCUAAGCACGAAACUUGCCCCGAGAUGAGUUCUCCCUGAGACUUAGAGUCUCCUGAAGGAACGUUGAAGACGACGACGUUGAUAGGCCGGGUGUGUAAGCGCAGCGAUGCGUUGAGCUAACCGGUACUAAUGAACCGUGAGGCUUAACC